rnacentral:rRNA from 1 species
UACGUAGGGUGCGAGCGUUGUCCGGAAUUAUUGGGCGUAAAGAGCUCGUAGGCGGCCUGUCGCGUCGGAUGUGAAAGCCCGGGGCUCAACCCCGGGUCUGCAUUCGAUACGGGCAGGCUGGAGUGUGGUAGGGGAGAUCGGAAUUCCUGGUGUAGCGGUGAAAUGCGCAGAUAUCAGGAGGAACACCGGUGGCGAAGGCGGGUCUCUGGGCAGUAACUGACGCUGAGGAGCGAAAGCGUGGGGAGCGAACAGG